GACUAUUUACAUGUUUUUAAACUAAUCUGACAUCGGUGUACAUACGUUCUCUACGGUUUUAUUAUAACCUCGAAGGAGAGAUUUGUGUAUAUCUUCUUGUAACCAGUUUAGUAUUUCAUUUCUACAUUGUGAUAUUUCCGAAACGUCGGGAAUGAGUUUGUAAUUCUCCAAAAAGAGUAUAGCUAUAGACAUUACCAUUAAAUUAAUAGUGUGGUUUCCAAAAACCCUAUGUAUAGAUUCAUUUCUCCACAUGUCACUAAUACUAUAACAUAAGUAUUUGAAAGCCUGUUCAGAUGUGCAAUAUUCUGUUCGUAAUAUAUUAUUCUUAAAAUUUCUAUAGUUCUCUGUCCCCCUCGAUAAUAUCCUAAUAACCGUUUUCUUAUCGAAAUCGGAUAGUCGGUAUGGGGGUACUACUCGUAUUCGUUUAACAUAAUUUUGAAUUUCUUCAAUUUUUCUUCUCUUCUUAACCAUCUGUUAAUUGUUUCUAUUGUAAAAAAGUCUUUAAGUUCUUCGUAUUCCAAUAGGGAUGAUUCUAUUUCAAUCAUCUUUAACAAGUCUUCUCUUUGUUUUUUCACCAAUUCUUCAAACACCUCAGUAGUCUCGAUUUUUCCUAUAACAAAAGUAAAAGUAGAAAAGUAUAAGUACAAAAUUAUAAAAGUACACAAGUACAAAAGCACACAAGUAUAAAUUUAGUUAAGGUUCACUCACUCGGCGCGGCCAUGUUUCCCCUUUUGAUCAAGUCUAGGAAGUUGAGUUUCUGUUCAGAGUUCUGGCUUCUGGUUUCUGUUCAGAGUUCUGGCUCUGGCUCUUGGCUCUGGCUCUUGUCCUUCUCGGCUGUCUUCGAUCGGUCUCGUCGAUUGAUGGAAUGGUUGAUUGAGGUUGUGGUUGCUGCUCUUAUACACUCCAAACUAGGUCCCAGUCCCCUCACGGUCUUGAUGUCACCGACCCCGUGAGUAGCUAUAAACAUCACGAUACGUCAUGUCGAUGUCCUUAUAAGGGGAAAGGGAAGAGGAAGUUGGAAGUGAAAGCGAAAGGUGAUUGGCCCAGGGGAAAAGUUCACGUGAAAGUGAAAGUGACAUAAUGGUUCGUGGAUUUGAUUGGUUGGUUAUAUUUAGCGGGAUGGUGUGAUGGUGUGAUGGUCCGAUAUGACGUCAAGGUCGGUGAUUGGUUGGUUAUAUUUACCUCGAUGGUCCAAUAUGACGUCAAGGUCGAUCAAGGUGGGUCAAAGUCAGUUAGGUGAUCACGUGGGGAGGAUGUCGACAGUGAUUGGUGGUUUGAAAUAGUCCGAUGACGAGUUUUAUGAUGAUUGGUUGGUUUAAAUUAACACGAUGAUGAUCUCGACGAUGAUUGGUCGGUUAUAUUUAGUUCUGUCUCGAUAUGACGUUAAGGUCGGUGAUUGGUUCAUCGAUGGUCACAUGACGAGGGGUCUCGACAGUGAUUGGUCGUUUAAAAUAGUCCGAUGACGGGUUUUCUAAAAUUAGGGGUUUUAAUGAUGUCAUUUUUAAAGUAGCUUAACCCGCGCGCACAGGUCUCUCACGAUUAUAUAGAGGGUACGUGUUUCGAGUUUGGUCUCAAAUCGAAUGGGAGUUUGUACCGUGUACAUCUAGAAGACAAGACUUUAAGAGAAGACUACAAGAAGUUAAAAUAAUCUUAACAUCGUAAUCAUGGUCAGGAAAUUUACACUGAACUUAGUGAGCAGAAAGGGACAAGAAGUUAUUAAGAAAGGGAAACAGUCCUUGGCCCAAGUACCUCGUAGUAAUGGCGGUAAUGGCAGCGCGAGUGGUGGUAGAGUUACAAAAUCCAAAGCUGAACCCAAAAAGAGAAUGAGAAAAGUACUCAUCCAGGUCCACUUGAAUAGAAGAUUGAAAGAGUAAGUCGAUUAGUAGAUUGAUUGAUUGAUUCGUUUGAUUAGUUAAUUAUUUAGUUAUUUGAUUUAGUUUGGUUUAUGAUUAAUAAUAAUAAUAAUCAUCAUCGUCUAUUUAUCUAUUUUUCGAUUAGUGCCUGGAAAAAUAACCAGUUUCAAUACAUGUACCACGGAGAUACCUUGGGAGUGUUUGUACCUGUCAACAACCUCAACAGUUCUGAUAUGAGUUGGAAGAAAGACUUCGAGGUUGUGGGUAGUGGGGAGAGUGUAGAAGUUACGCCUGUUCAGAUAAACGGGGAGUGUGUCCUAUCGUGGUUCGAGGGGGGUGAAAACAAGUUCUACACUCUAUGUGACAUUGAAGGGUUACCCCUCGUAAAAUAUCAAGACAAGGACAGCGGUAGUGGUGAUAACGGUGAUGAUGGUACUGGUGGUAGUCAUGACCAUCACUAUGCCAUGAAUAAACAAGACUUUUCUCAUCGUCAAUCUACCACCACCCUCAAGGAAGAACCGGUUGCCCAAGGUUAUGUGUCAAGGCAAUAGGCAAUUGUAGUUACGAAUCUAAUGACGGAGUUAAAUUUAUAGUUCAUCCCGACGAGGUAACCGACAGGGGUAAAAUUAUCGCUUCCAAAAUGUGGGAGGUUUACUGCCAGUACCCCAACAGGCCGGUAUUUGUCGUACAUUCUGUCACGAAAGAAUUUCACAAAGGUGACAUUAUGAAUGUGUCGACUUGUAAUAACAACAUGGGGAUACAGAAGAAGAGAAUAGUUCCUGGAGUGUUUUGCUUGCAAGGAGGCAAAGGAGAUGUCCCUACCCUUGACUGGAAUAUUGGACGUUUUGGCUUGAUAACAUUUAGUAGUCUAGUCUCGGAAGAACCAGUCAAUCCCCUGUCUCACCUCUUGUCGUCCAUUAAGGAGAAAGGGGGAAUGGAUUGGAACCGUAAUGACUUAGACAAAAGAUUUAAGGAUAGUAAACUCGAAGCCUUAUUAAAGGCCGAUAAGCUUGACGUGUAUAGUGGGAAGAUUUCGAUUCUAGAAAUGAUCCUCAUGGGAGGUGAUAUCGAGGACUACGACAGGGAGGGUAGUAGUAGUAGUAGUAGUAGUCGUCGUCACGGGGACGAUUCGAGAUACUAUAGUAACCCCUGGAGAACACAGAAAAUGUCAUACAAUAAACCAGUGGGAAGGGGAGAUAAGGAUAAACUCGUCAUGGACUCUUCGGGGGAAUGGGUCGAUCCCAAAAUUGGAUUCAAUACUUUUCGUUUAUUUCCUUUUAUGGGCCUUUUAGAUCGCCAAGGGAGACCCCGACAGCUUAGACCCGAAACUAAACUCAGGUUUUUAGAAGGGGCUACAGAUUUCGAAUUCAGUAUUUCCAGGAAUCAACGAAUUUAUCAUUACGAACCCCGUACCACCAUUCCUCAAAUACCUUUCCAGGCUAUCGUUGAACAAACUCUCGGGGAUUGGGAAAGGAUGAAAAACGAUCCCGAGGGGAGUAAGAAGAAUAGGGGAAGCGAGGGGGGAUGUGUUCACAUGAAUCCUCUUCUACCCGAUGAGGAGGAUAAGUAUUUGGAAUAUAUAACCAUCGCCAGUAGGAAAGAUAGUUAUUCCCUCACCCCCCCUUUUUCUGACAAUUGUCAGACGGGACUCAGGUUACCUCGGGCGUCUUUCACGCCCUGAGACCUUACGUCAUAAACAAAUUUACGAAAGGUCAACAACAACAGUCAAAGAAUAACUGUGUCGACGACCUUGCCAAGGGGAUGGAGUACGUCACGGGUUAUAAAGUCAACCCCCAAUCCGUGGGUAGGAUAUUCGGACCCAAUUUGUACACAGACCUUUUAGCCUCUACAUCUCUCACCUCCGACAAUUUGGGGGAGAUAAAUCACUUGAACGAACUGUUGUGGGCGAUUACCUAUUUCUGGAACAGGUUGAAAGAGAUUUGUAUCUCUUUCAAGGGACUUCUCGGGUUACCUGGUAACCUCUCACUCCUAGGGCCUCAAUUCUUGAAUACCAUUUUCUGUCCUAAGGGAGAUCGGGUGGGGGUAAUCGGUCCUCACGUGUUCAUGGCCCAAUUACCCGUCGUGAUGAUAACCAAUACACUCCUUCUUGGAAUACUUUACCCAUACCCAUAUCGAGUAACGUGUGGCUUGAAUUUCACCAGGUCAUGUACGACUUUGUACAUAAGUUACACCAAAUGUUAGGACCUCUAAUUUACGCUGAUACUUUAGCGCAAGAAGUCCUAUCCAUGACAAUCACUGCAACAGUCUGCUUACCUCCAACUCUAACCAGCCCUAUAAAAGACAUCAAAUUCUGGUUGACUAAACUUUUCAAAGAUAGAAUGCCUUACCAACACUAUCCCCUACUUAAACAUUGAUUCCGGUUUCAAGUUUGAGUAACAUUUUAACCCUUCCUAUCCUAACAAUCACAUGACCAUCUUUGAUAUCCAAUGCUCGUACCAAUCUCCCCUCCUCUGCUCAAGUCUCUUCACAGAACUCAACCUCGAACUAGGUCUGGACCUAGGCGUGGAGACGGGGCGUGGGUUCGACCCUCAUAACCCACUCAGUCCCAGUCUCAUCUCCCUCCCUCCAAUACUAACAAAUCAAUCAAAUCAAUCAAUUCAAUUACAAUUUGACACUGUAGAUAGUCCUUCGCCCAAACCUGAACUUAAACCCCAAUCUCAACCUCGACCUUUGGGUGACGAAACUUGUCUGACCAGUGACGCUAGUGACACUGGUAAUACCAAUCCCACUCCCUUACCAGAAGUUCAAAACCAAAGUAGGAAAUGUAGAAGGUUUUUUGGGAUUGAAAAUAAACAUCUCUGGUGUCACCCAUGCCAACAAAAACAAGCUUGCGAGCGGCCAUUGGUUCCCCACUUCUCGGUUCCAGUCUCUCUCUCCCAUUGGUCGCUCCGACCCCGGCCCCGCCCACCCUACCUUCCCACUACUGAUUUUCCCAGUUUUCACAAUGCUCGCAAUUACACCAAGAGGUAUUUCCCCUCCUUGCAAGCUCGUUCUGGCCGUCAGCUGUAUUUUCUCCAUCGGAAUCCGAGAAAUUUCGCAUGGGUUCGAAGGAAUAGGGUUCAAACUCAGCCAUAUUUUGUAACUGUAUUAUCAAGCGUUCUGUUGUCCCAAACUAUACACAAUAUAGCUGCGAAAAUCCGCGACUAAUCACGACUAAUGAAGGGCGAGAACACCAAAACAUAGCACGCGGAGGCGAGCACGCAAAGUAGGAAAGAAAGCAUGAGCGCUUUGACGUCACGAGAUGGCGGACGGUAAUCCUUAUUUGGAAGUAACCGGAAGAGAAUGCUAACAAAAUGGCAGAUGUUCAAUUCCGGCGAAUUCUCUUAGUUUUCUAUUUGAUUUGCACUGAAAUACGAACUUUUUUCAGGCGAUUCUUUGUAAUUUAUGUUCUUUCUACAAUUUCAGAUCAUUUCAAAAAUUAUACCCUGUAGCCUUCCGUUCUCCUUUAAAGGGUUUUAAGUAAUGUUAUUCUAGUUGUAAGGUUUAGCUUGGUGAGAUUGAAGGUUGUCAGGUUCACAAUCCUCAUUCAGUCUUGCAUUUGAUACAAUCAUGUCAAAAUAAUUCGGUGAAAAUAAUACAUUUAAUUUGAUUUAACACACUUUGCCAGUUUCCUUCUCAAUCCAUAGUUUCUCACAAAGUGCAUUCCUGACUUUAUUUGUCUCCUGUGACGAAUCCCUGAUGCUUGAAGAAUUUCUCAUUUCCAACAGCUUUCUUAUAUCUUCUCGAUAUCUCUUUUGACCAUUUGCAUCCAAACUCAAGUUGAGCUUUUUUGAAAUUGCAUCUCCGUGUGCAAUACAUAUAUUGUGGAGAACCAUGCAUGCCAAUGUCAUAAUGUGCACAGUAUCUUGACUGCUUUCACAUUUUCGGAGUAGCACCCUCCACCGACCCUCGAGUUGUCCAUAAGCACCCUCUGUAACCAUACGGGCUCUGCUUAAGCGGUAAUUAAAGUUACGUUGCUGGGGUGCCAGGACUGCAUAAGUGUAUGGUUUCAUUAACCAUGUUCGUCGAGGGAAUGCAGAGUCCCCCGCUAUAGGUGGUGGAACAGUUACAUCUCCUGCAGGUUUUCCAAUUACUAGAAUUAGGCCCUCUUGGAUACGGGUCCAAAGGUCAGUUGAUUUAAAAAUAACUGCUUCGUGUGAAUUUCCUGGAAACCCACAGCUGCCCCAGGAUACUCUGAAUGUUUUCUUAAACCUUGCCUCUGAAUAGGUGUUGGUAACAUUUUCCCACCAGCCAGUAUUUCUUGUUAGCCGAUGACAAGAACGAACUGCACAAGGAACUGUAAUGUUCCUUUGAGAAAUAAGCAGCAAUAGAAGGCAAGCCAAAUUCUAAACUUGUCUUCUCCUGGCAACGAGGUUAUUUAAUGCUAACGGUAUCUUGAUGCGCCUUCUUCUACCCUCUUUGAUUGCACUUGCAAGAAAAACAAGCUCUUCAUUUUCACAGUUUGUCUUUCCCGCAAUUUUUUCCACCAUUUUGAUAAGCAACAACCGCUGACCGCAGUAGAGUCAAGCUCACCUUAACAAUAUUAAGUUCGACUUAAUUAGGUGCAACGUUUGAAUCAACUGUCAAACUUAAUUAUUUGGGUCGACCCAAAUUGGUAUUAGGUUCGGCACAUGUAAAGUUUGACGUUUGAACCGGGCCUAAAAAGCCAAAAUACUUUGUUGAUGAAGACCAUAAAACAUUUGAGAUGACACUUCAUUGUCACCUUGAGAUGACACUUCAUCGUCACCUUGGUCAUCAUCUGGAAUUAAGAUGCAAUAAAAGUUAGUCUCAGUUUACCUAGAUGACACUUUGCUGUAGAAAUGAGUAGCAAAUUGAAUAUAACCAUAAAGAUGAAAAUGUAACAUCUUGUAAAUAUAGAUUCUUUACACGUGUACAGAAGUUUAACAAAAACUAAUAACUUACGGUACACUUUCCUCAUUUGCUGACAAGAAGAGUCUGCAGAUGAGAUCAGAGCAAAAUUGUUGAAUGGUGUGACAGAACAGCUUGAGUUGACAUACAUGUAGUGACAGCAAAACAGAGUUCAUUCUGAGAGUAAUGAAGCAUUUACAGAAAAUGUAAGACAGUUGCAGAUAAAAGGUCAUCUCAAUAAUCACCAUUUGUCUUUUGGAACAUGAACAGAAAUAGUCUUUGAUACACAUAUAGAGGUUGAAGACAAAGUAAUGACUUACAGUAAACUUCGUUUACUAGGUAAACAACAUUAGAGCAAAAUACUGAUGCUAAAAAGCCAAAAUACUUACUUUGUUGAUGAAGGCCGUAAAACAUGUGAGAUGACACUUCAUUGUCACCUUGAGAUGACACUUCAUCGUCACGUUGGUCAUCAUCUGGAAUUAAGAUGCGAUAAAAGGUAGUCUCAGUUUACCUAGAUGACACUUUGCUGUAGAAAUAAGUAGCAAAUUGAAUAUAACCAUAAAGAUGAAAAUGUAACAUCUUGUAAAUAUAAAUUCUUUACACAUGUAGAGAAUUGUAACAAAAAGUAAUAACUUAC